rnacentral:rRNA from 1 species
CCCUUAGAUGUUCUGGGCCGCACACGCGCUACACUGAAGGAGGCAGCGUGUACUCCUGGAUCGAAAGAUUUGGGUAACCCGCGAAUCUCCUUCGUGCUAGGGAUUGAGGUUUGCAAUUAUCCUUCAUGAACGAGGAAUUCCCAGUAAGUGCAAGUCAUAAGCUUGCGCUGACUACGUCCCUGCCCUUUGUACACACCGCCCGUCGCUACUACCGAUUGAAUGAUUUAGUGAGGACUUCGAACUGGGACCGAUGCGGCUUUCGGGCUGCGUCGGUAUUCUGGAAAGAUGUCCAAACUGUAUCAUUUAGAGGAAGUAAAANUCGUAACA